AGGCAACAUCUUUUUCGAAUUCGGAUCCUCUAACGUGAUACGGACAAUUACGUAUCCUUAAAGUGGAAAUUUUUUUCCUUCCUCAGUACACAACUUUUGUUGAAACAGAGACUACUAUUCGGUAAAGCAAUGAAGCCCUCUGUGCUGCGUUUGUCACUGCUUGUUUUCGUUCCUCUGCUUCUCUCCCUCUUCUAUGUUGCGCUCAUGCCAAAGAAGGAAACCUCUAUGAAAACCUAUGAGGUCUUUGGAGUGAAGAUAGAAAAGAACCCAUCUCAGUCUAAACUUACUGAUCUUGGAGUCUCAACUUGGCCCAUGUGGGAAGGUGGUCCAACCAAAAUUCCAUGGUCCUUUAAAGAAGAAGAGACUAUGUAUCUGAGACUAUGUAUCUGCUGGAGGGAAAAGUGAGGGUUACUGUUGAAGGGUCUGUUGAAUCUUUUGAAAUUGGGGGUGGUGAUUUAGUUGUCUUCCCAAAAGGAAUGAACAUUACUUGGGAAGUGAUUGAAGCUGUGAAGAAACACUACAGCUUGAAAAAAUAACGUGUACUUAUAAGCCUUUUCUGUUGUUGUGGCCUAGUGAUGCCAUGUAUGAAAUUGAUCAAGCAAUUACUUCUCACUAAAGCUAUAGUUACUAAUUGCUGGCGGGAUAUACCAAAGCUUUCACUUCCAUUAGAUUGUACCCUUGUCAAUGAUCCUAUUGGAAAUAAUCUCUGAUCAAACAUUAAAUAAGUGGGAUCCUUUUAUAAAUUAAUGAAGAAAGAGAUGAAUACUACAAAA